UAGGAUAGGUGGGAGGCUUUGAAGUGUGGACGCCAGUCUGCAUGGAGCCGACCUUGAAAUACCACCCUUUAAUGUUUGAUGUUCUAACGUUGACCCGUAAUCCGGGUUGCGGACAGUGUCUGGUGGGUAGUUUGACUGGGGCGGUCUCCUCCUAAAGAGUAACGGAGGAGCACGAAGGUUGGCUAAUCCUGGUCGGACAUCAGGAGGUUAGUGCAAUGGCAUAAGCCAGCUUGACUGCGAGCGUGACGGCGCGAGCAGGUGCGAAAGCAGGUCAUAGUGAUCCGGUGGUUCUGAAUGGAAGGGCCAUCGCUCAACGGAUAAAAGGUACUCCGGGGAUAACAGGCUGAUACCGCCCAAGAGUUCAUAUCGACGGCGGUGUUUGGCACCUCGAUGUCGGCUCAUCACAUCCUGGGGCUGAAGUAGGUCCCAAGGGUAUGGCUGUUCGCCAUUUAAAGUGGUACGCGAGCUGGGUUUAGAACGUCGUGAGAC
rnacentral:rRNA from 1 species